rnacentral:rRNA from 1 species
AGGCGUAGGGAAACCGAGUCCGAAUAGGGCGCAUAGUUGCUGGGCGUAGACCCGAACCAAGUGAUCUAUCCAUGGCCAGGUUGAAGGUGCCGUAACAGGUACUGGAGGACCGAACCCACUAGUGUUGCAAAACUAGGGGAUGAGCUGUGGAUAGGGGUGAAAGGCUAAACAAACUUGGAAAUAGCUGGUUCUCUCCGAAAACUAUUUAGGUAGUGCCUCACGUAUCACUCUCGGGGGUAGAGCACUGUCAUGGCUAGGGGGUCAUCGCGACUUACCAAACCAUAGCAAACUCCGAAUACCGAGAAGUGCGAGCGUGGGAGACAGACAUCGGGUGCUAACGUCCGGUGUCAAGAGGGAAACAACCCAGACCGCCAGCUAAGGUCCCAAAUGACGUGCUAAGUGGUAAACGAAGUGGGAAGGCAUAGACAGCCAGGAUGUUGGCUUAGAAGCAGCCAUCAUUUAAAGAAAGCGUAAUAGCUCACUGGUCGAGUCGUCCUGCGCGGAAGAUGUAACGGGAG